rnacentral:rRNA from 1 species
UACGUAGGGUGCAAGCGUUGUCCGGAAUUAUUGGGCGUAAAGAGCUCGUAGGCGGUCUGUUGCGUCGGCUGUGAAAACCCGGGCUCAACCCGGGCCUGCAGCCGAUACGGCAGACUAGAGUUCGGCAGGGGAGACUGGAAUUCCUGGUGUAGCGGUGAAAUGCGCAGAUAUCAGGAGGAACACCGGUGGCGAAGGCGGGUCUCUGGGCCGAUACUGACGCUGAGGAGCGAAAGCGUGGGGAGCGAACAGG